UCCAACUUGCUCCCUAUGUGUGAUGUGUUGAGUUAAGAUGAGCUGUGCAAAAAACGACACCAAAUGUUGAAGGAUUGGGGUGUACUGGGCACACUCAAAACGCAAACUCAAAACCAGCUAAUUCAUGAGUGGUUGCACCCUGUGUUGAAUGGAGAAUUGCAACCUCAGUCCAUUUCAUGUCAAAGGAACUCCCUCUUACUACCAGCCUCUAACUCUUUAGUGGCUGAUAACUUACAAAGAUGCUGCUAUGACUAUUCACUUUCUGUUUUAUUUCCAGAAAUUGUUCAGCAAAAUAAAAGUAUUUACUUUGCAGUAUUGAUUACACUCAAUAAAAAAUCACCCUACUUCCAGUUUCUACAAAUCAUUGGUCUCAGGAUUUCAUAAAGAAAAUCAAAAAGGUUUGAGAACCUUCAGCUUCUUGAUCAAUUGGCAGAUGCUUAUCCUCAGCAUAUAAAGCUUGAGUCUUUAGAAGUAAAGCUAAAUGAAUAUAAGAGAGAAAUAGAAAAACAACUUCUGGCAGAAAUGUGUCAAAACAUGGAAGUGAUAAGAGAGUAUGAGAAGGAAUUAGCUAUGUUCUGAAGUGAUUCUGAGAGAGCUUGUCAAGCAGAAUCUGAAGCCCUCAGUCUUCAGGAAAAGUGUAUCCUUGAGAGAAAUCAAAAGAACCAAGAGGUUGAAAUGAGAAACUUUAUGCUCAAAGUCUUCUUUUACUUAAAGAUAUGUAUCUGUUAAGAGAAAGAAAAGCAGAGCUGAAGCAGAGAGUUGAAGCUUUUGAAUUGCAGCAUAAACUCCAGGAAGAAAAAUAUAAAAGCAUGACUGAGGACUUAGUAGAUGGGAGCAGAAUACAAAGUGUCUUGAGGAGACCUAUCACAGAAACCUAAAAUACAAACUUCUAGUAACAACUUGAACUAAUGGAUGACUCCAUCAUUAGAACUAAUUGACUGAUUGGAGAGAAAAGGAAGAAUAAAGGAAAAGCUGUUUACUUGCAAGACGAACUCACAGUUAGUAAUACAAAAAAGGAGGAACUCAAUCAAUCUGUAAGUUUUAUGUAAGAACUCAAGAUUGAGUUAAUGUGUGUCAAAGCACAGUCUUCGGCAAUAACAAAACAAAUAUAUUGUGAAUGAAAGUGUUCAAGAGAUAAGUGACUAUUUACUACUAAAGGAAGAAAAACUGGAAGAGAAUAAAAAUAAAAACAUGCAUCUCUUAAACC
rnacentral:lncRNA from 1 species